GGCAGGCCUAACACAUGCAAGACGAGCGGAAACGAAGAGGUGCUUGCACCUCUGGCGUCGAGCGGCGGACGGGUGAGUAAUGCUUGGGAAUAUGCCUUAUGGUGGGGGACAACAGUUGGAAACGACUGCUAAUACCGCAUAACGUCUACGGACCAAAGUGGGGGACCUUCGGGCCUCACGCCAUAAGAUUAGCCCAAGUGGGAUUAGCUAGUUGGUGAGGUAAUGGCUCACCAAGGCGACGAUCCCUAGCUGGUUUGAGAGGAUGAUCAGCCACACUGGGACUGAGACACGGCCCAGACUCCUACGGGAGGCAGCAGUGGGGAAUAUUGCACAAUGGGCGCAAGCCUGAUGCAGCCAUGCCGCGUGUGUGAAGAAGGCCUUCGGGUUGUAAAGCACUUUCAGUAAGGAGGAAAGGUUAAGUGUUAAUAGCACUUAGCUGUGACGUUACUUACAGAAGAAGCACCGGCUAACUCCGUGCCAGCAGCCGCGGUAAUACGGAGGGUGCGAGCGUUAAUCGGAAUUACUGGGCGUAAAGCGUACGCAGGCGGUUUGUUAAGCGAGAUGUGAAAGCCCCGGGCUCAACCUGGGAACUGCAU
rnacentral:rRNA from 1 species